GCCACUCAUUAAGCUGAUGAAGUUCCAUCUUUAGCUGCGCAUGUUUGUUCUGUGAAUUUUCAGGGUAGGAGGCAGCUUAGAAAAAAAGCCUUACAGCAAGUCAGCAAGAUGCACUGCCCUGAGUUACACACCCAAACCCUGUGCGGACAUGGGAUGCAAGCAUUGCCGAGGAGUAAGAUGGCACAGACUAAAUACUGAUGAGAAGAGAAAAAAGUGCAUUUGCAAAAGAAGAAAGAUCUGUCUUUUCCUGAGACUUGCCUAGGAUGAGGACCC